rnacentral:lncRNA from 1 species
UCCAUGAUGAUGUGUGAGUAGUUCACCAUAGACCUACAGGUCCAUAGUUAGUAGCUAGAUGGAUUCUUCUCUCUCUCUCUUUGAUCUUCAAUACCAUGUUCUCCUCGAUCUCCUUGGAAUUCUAUCCGAUGUAAUCUUCUUUUGCGCUGUGUUUGUUGGGAUCCGAGGAAUUGUUGGUUUAUCAUCAGAUUAUUCAUUGAAAUUAAUUGAG